CCCCCAGACUCCUACGGGAGGCAGCAGUGGGGAAUAUUGGGCAAUGGGGGAAACCCUGACCCAGCGACGCCGCGUGAGGGAAGAAGGUUUUCGGAUUGUAAACCUCUGUCCUUGGUGACGAUAAUGACGGUAGCCAAGGAGGAAGCCACGGCUAACUACGUGCCAGCAGCCGCGGUAAUACGUAGGUGGCGAGCGUUGUCCGGAAUUACUGGGUGUAAAGGGCGUGUAGGCGGGAAAGCAAGUCAGAUGUGAAAACUAUGGGCUCAACCCAUAGCCUGCAUUUGAAACUGUUUUUCUUGAGUGCUGGAGAGGCAAUCGGAAUUCCGUGUGUAGCGGUGAAAUGCGUAGAUAUACGGAGGAACACCAGUGGCGAAGGCGGAUUGCUGGACAGUAACUGACGCUGAGACGCGAAAGCGUGGGGAGCAAACAGGAUUAGAUACCCUCGUA
rnacentral:rRNA from 1 species